UACGUAGGGGGCAAGCGUUAUCCGGAUUUACUGGGUGUAAAGGGAGCGUAGACGGCCAGACAAGUCUGAAGUGAAAAUCCAGCGCUUAACGUUGGAAGUGCUUUGGAAACUGCCGGGCUAGAGUGCAGGAGGGGCAGGCGGAAUUCCUAGUGUAGCGGUGAAAUGCGUAGAUAUUAGGAGGAACACCAGUGGCGAAGGCGGCCUGCUGGACUGCAACUGACGUUGAGGCUCGAAGGCGUGGGGGGCAAACAGG
rnacentral:rRNA from 1 species